GUGAACUCAACCUUCUUGGACAUGGAUGGAGACUAUGGAAAGAAGGAAAAGGGUUGGACUUGUUAGAUAUAUCGGUUGGCAAUUCAUUUUCCUCGAGUGAAGUUCUUAGAUGCUUGCAGGUAGGCCUUCUAUGCGUCCAAGAACGUGCAGAAGAUAGGCCAACAAUGGCAUCUGUGGUCUUGAUGUUGAGCAGCGAAACUGCA
rnacentral:misc_RNA from 1 species